AUUGAACGCUGGCGGCAGGCCUAACACAUGCAAGUCGAGCGAGCGGCGGACGGGUGAGAAAUGUAUGGGGACUGCCCGAUAGAGGGGGAUAACUACUGGAAACGGUAGCUAAUACCGCAUACUAUCGGAUAACCCAUAUGGGAUUUGCUAGUGGGUGGGGUAAUGGCUCACCUAGGCGACGAUCCCUAGCUGGUCUGAGAGGAUGAUCAGCCACACUGGGACUGAGACACGGCCCAGACUCCUACGGAGGCAGCAGUGGGGAAUAUUGCACAAUGGGCGCAAGCCUGAUGCAGCCAUGCCGCGUGUAUGAAGAAGGCCUUAGGGUUUUAAAGUACUUUCAGUCGGGAGGCGGUACCGACAGAAGAAGCACCGGCUAACUCCGUGCCAGCAGCCGCGGUAAUAC
rnacentral:rRNA from 1 species